GCUCACGAGUGGACGACUGUUCGGGUACCUGGCCCGUCGUCCCGGCAACCGCGCGACCACCGCACGGUGCCCCAGGGGAAGAGCGGGCACGCGAAGCGUGCAAGAGGUGGAC
rfam:Mycobacterium phlei DSM 43239 = CCTG 21000 Contig6, whole genome shotgun sequence.